AGAAGAAUUAUGGUUUGAACUACGUAACAAUUACCUAGACAUCUUUUGGACUUCAGUUAACCUGUGUCAAGCACUGCAGUAGAUUCUGAAGAUACAAAAAUAAAUAAAACAUUCCUGCCCUCAAGACACUUACACUCUUAUGUGUAACACUGUGUGACCAUUCAUCUGGGCCUUCCUGAGACAGUCUUGGUUUACACCUGUUUUCCCAAUAGCAUCACUGCCUUUCCCACUAUUCUCCUGCAGAAGAGCAGGGGAAGGAAGCACCAGGGUCCAUCAUGGAGUUGUGACAACUGAGAUUCAGAGAUGUCCAAUCUACUCACAUAAAUAGCCUGGUUGAAGAUGGCUGAGCGUAAAACAGAAUGCAAGUCAGCUGGAGCACGUACUACUGGAGGCAGAGCCCCAUGAGAAGGGGCCAAGAACCCGCACCCAUCAAAAUCAAGAAGAAAGGCUGAACCCGGAGAGAAAAGGGAGCAACUGAUGUUGCCAUGCAGAUCCCUUGGUUGCUAUGAGAUGGUAACAUCACUCUGCCCCACCAUUGGCCAGUGCCUCCUCAGCUGCGGUGCCUCCCAGGCUGUGUGGUUCUCACGCGGGCCACUGACACAGAGCUGUUACUAUGGUGAACUUUACAAUUUCCUUUGAUUGGUGGAUUUCAGAAAUAGGCCAUCAGCGGAAUUCAUUAUAUUCAGCUAAGUAAAAAUGAAAAAUAAAUACUAUAACUUUCCCCUCAUCACUAACAUGAAGGAAACGUGACCCUUCAUGACAUAAUAAAUCGCUGUUCGGUAACUUAGGAUCCUUCAGGGGACUGAAGCGGGAUGAUCCUCCUAUGCCAAAUUUGGGUGGGAAAGAUAUUCCCUGUAGCUUUGAGUCGACUCUUCAGAGUUAAGGGCAGUGGGCCAACCAGAGUUGGAACUUCAGAGUUGGGAGGAGGUGUGGGAUGGGGCAUGCAUUGAAAUGUAAACUCUAUUGUCUCUGAAGUGAUGGGUGAUGCUGGGGGCCUGAGUGUGGAGGGCAGUUUUACAUCUCAGGACAAUGUUUUCUCAGAUGCUCUUCCAGAAAGAAAAGCCAGGAGUACUCCUGGCUGGAGGCGGCAUGCCUGAGGUCAGAGUCAAAGUAGGGUUUGUGCUGUCUGAAUCCUUUCUCCCACUCUCCCCAGCCUGGCUCAGCUUCUCAGCUUCUCAGGUGGAUUGGCCUCUGAGCCCAAGCCAAGCCAUCGCAUCCCCUGUGACUUGCCCGUAUAUAUGCCCAGAUGGCCUGAAGUAACUGAAGAAUCACAAAAGAAGUGAAUAUGCCUUGCCCCACCUUGACUGAUGACAUUCCACCACAAAAGAAGUGUAAAUGGCCGGUCCUUGCCUUAACUGAUGACAUUACCUUGUGAAAGUCCUUUUCCUGGCUCAUCCUGGCUCAAAAAGCACCCCCACUGAGCAUCUUGCGACUCCCACUCCUGCCCACUGAGCACCUUGUGACCCCCACUCCUGCCUGCCAGAGAACAAACCCCCUUUGACUGUAAUUUUCCUUUACCUACCCAAAUCCUAUAAAACGGCUCCACCCUUAUCUCCUUUUGCUGACUCUCUUUUCUGACUCAGCCCGCCUGCACCCAGGAGAUUAAAAGCUUUAUUGCUCA
ensembl:lncRNA novel transcript, antisense to PELI1